rnacentral:rRNA from 1 species
CAGCAGCCGCGGGAAUACGUAGGGUGCGAGCGUUAAUCGGAAUUACUGGGCGUAAAGCGUGCGCAGGCGGUUGUGUAAGACAGGUGUGAAAUCCCCGGGCUUAACCUGGGAACUGCGCUUGUGACUGCACAGCUAGAGUAUGGCAGAGGGGGGUGGAAUUCCACGUGUAGCAGUGAAAUGCGUAGAGAUGUGGAGGAACACCGAUGGCGAAGGCAGCCCCCUGGGCCAAUACUGACGCUCAUGCACGAAAGCGUGGGGAGCAAACAGGAUUAGAUACCCGUGUAGUCCCUGUCUCUUAUAC